UGAACGCUGGCGGCGUGCCUAAUACAUGCAAGUCGAGCGAACAGACGAGGAGCUUGCUCCUCUGACGUUAGCGGCGGACGGGUGAGUAACACGUGGAUAACCUACCUAUAAGACUGGGAUAACUUCGGGAAACCGGAGCUAAUACCGGAUAAUAUAUUGACCCGCAUGGUUCAAUAGUGAAAGACGGUUUUGCUGUCACUUAUAGAUGGAUCCGCGCCGCAUUAGCUAGUUGGUAAGGUAACGGCUUACCAAGGCAACGAUGCGUAGCCGACCUGAGAGGGUGAUCGGCCACACUGGAACUGAGACACGGUCCAGACUCCUACGGGAGGCAGCAGUAGGGAAUCUUCCGCAAUGGGCGAAAGCCUGACGGAGCAACGCCGCGUGAGUGAUGAAGGUCUUCGGAUCGUAAAACUCUGUUAUUAGGGAAGAACAAAUGUGUAAGUAACUAUGCACGUCUUGACGGUACCUAAUCAGAAAGCCACGGCUAACUACGUG
rnacentral:rRNA from 1 species